rnacentral:rRNA from 1 species
CUUGGUCAUUUAGAGGAAGUAAAAGUCGUAACAAGGUUUCCGUAGGUGAACCUGCGGAAGGAUCAUUCAUAAUAAAGUGUUUUAUGGCACUUUUUAAAAAUCCAUAUCCACCUUGUGUGCAAUGUUAGGUCUCGUCAAUCUUGGCGAGAUUUUUAUACAUCAACUCAUUCUUUAACUAAUUUGUCUGAAAAAUAUUAUGAAUACUUAAUUCAAAAUACAACUUUCAACAACGGAUCUCUUGGCUCUCGCAUCGAUGAAGAACGCAGCGAAAUGCGAUACGUAAUGUGAAUUGCAGAAUUCAGUGAAUCAUCGAAUCUUUGAACGCAUAUUGCGCUCUCUGGUAUUCCGGAGAGCAUGCUUGUUUGAGUAUCAGUAAACACCCCUCAGAACUUCUUGAUUUUCGAAUCUUGGAGCUCUGGAUUUGAGUGAUCCCAACGCGUUCUUUCGCAGAACAUGGCGGGCCACUUGAAAUGCAGGUGCAGCUGGACUUUCUUCUGAGCUAAAAGCAUAUUUAUUUAGUCCUGUCAACACUUGUGUUGCGGAUUAUUACUUCUGCUGCAGCUAACAUAAAGGUUGAUUGUUCAAAUGCUGACUGAUGCAGGAUUUAUCAGUAGCGUAAGCUAUCUGUUAAACUCGAUCUCAAAUCAAGUAAGACUACCCGCUGAACUUAAGCAUAUCAAUAAGCGGAGGAA